GGACCCGCACAAGUAGUGGAGCAUGUGGUUUAAUUCGAAGAUACGCGCAGAACCUUACCAACACUUGACAUGUUCGUCGCGACUUUAAGAGAUUAGAGUUUUCGGUUCGGCCGGACGAAACACAGGUGCUGCAUGGCUGUCGUCAGCUCGUGUCGUGAGAUGUUGGGUUAAGUCCCGCAACGAGCGCAACCCUCACUUUUAGUUGCCAUCAUUAAGUUGGGCACUCUGAAAGAACUGCCAGUGAUAAGCUGGAGGAAGGUGGGGAUGACGUCAAGUCCUCAUGGCCCUUACGUGUUGGGCUACACACGUCUACAAUGGUAUCUACAACAGGAAGCAAAGCUGCGAAGUUAAG
rnacentral:rRNA from 1 species